GACGAACGCUGGCGGCGUGCUUAACACAUGCAAGUCGAACGGAAAGGCCCUGCUUUUGUGGGGUGCUCGAGUGGCGAACGGGUGAGUAACACGUGAGUAACCUGCCCUUGACUUUGGGAUAACUUCAGGAAACUGGGGCUAAUACCGGAUAGGAGCUCCUGCUGCAUGGUGGGGGUUGGAAAGUUUCGGCGGUUGGGGAUGGACUCGCGGCUUAUCAGCUUGUUGGUGGGGUAGUGGCUUACCAAGGCUUUGACGGGUAGCCGGCCUGAGAGGGUGACCGGCCAAAUUGGGACUGAGAUACGGCCCAGACUCCUACGGGAGGCAGCAGUGGGGAAUAUUGCACAAUGGGCGGAAGCCUGAUGCAGAAACGCCGCGUGCGGGAUGAAGGCCUUCGGGUUGUAAACCGAUUUCGCAUGUGACGAAGCGUGAGUGACGGUAAUGGGUAAAGAAGCACCGGCUAACUACGUG
rnacentral:rRNA from 1 species